rnacentral:lncRNA from 1 species
GUAUCCUUCUAUCCAAUUGGACGGAGCUACAAACACGUGACAUGUUAAUGAAUGCUUUUCUUCUAUACAAAUCGGCAGUAAGACAAAAAUUAACUGAAAGUUUAAUGAAUGGUAAUGUAGUAUCCAACUCCUCAUUGCCACAAAUACAAUAUAACUUAAGUUUCACGGAUGGUAAGU